GUGCUCACUCCAGCAGCACAUAUACUAAAGUUGGAAAGACACAGUGAAGAUUAACAUGGUCCCUGAUCAAGGGUAACAUGUGAACUCAUGAAGCAUUCUAUAUAUGU
ensembl:snRNA U6 U6 spliceosomal RNA